UUCCUUCUCAUACUCUUGCUUCUUGUUCUAGACCAGAGAGAGCUUUCUCGGCAAGUUAAUGAGUGAGCUUGACUGUGACCUUCUUGUAGUAAUUCAUAUCUACCUCUCUUGCAAUACCUACUUCUCUUGCAAUAUUUACUUCUCUUGCUUUCUAUAGAGGUUAUGUUGUAAGGGUUAUAGGCUAGGUUAUUAAGAAUGUUAUAGUAGCAUUAUUACC